AGAGUUCGAUCCUGGCUCAGGAUGAACGCUGGCGGCGUGCUUAACACAUGCAAGUCGAACGAUCCUUCGGGAUAGUGGCGGACGGGUGAGUAACGCGUGGGAAUCUGCCCUCAGGAGGGGGAUAACGGCUGGAAACGGCCGCUAAUACCCCAUAUGCCGAGAGGUGAAAUGAAUUUCGCCUGAGGAUGAGCCCGCGUCUGAUUAGCUAGUUGGUGGGGUAAUGGCCUACCAAGGCAACGAUCAGUAGCUGGUCUGAGAGGAUGAUCAGCCACACUGGGACUGAGACACGGCCCAGACUCCUACGGGAGGCAGCAGUGGGGAAUUUUCCGCAAUGGGCGAAAGCCUGACGGAGCAACGCCGCGUGAGGGAUGAAGGCCUCUGGGCUGUAAACCUCUUUUCUCAAGGAAGAAGACCUGACGGUACUUGAGGAAUAAGCCACGGCUAAUUCCGUGCCAGCAGCCGCGGUAAUACGGGAGUGGCAAGCGUUAUCCGGAAUUAUUGGGCGUAAAGCGUCCGCAGGCGGCCUUGUAAGUCUGUUGUUAAAGCGUGGAGCUCAACUCCAUUUAAGCAAUGGAAACUACAAGGCUGGAGUGUGGUAGGGGCAGAGGGAAUUCCCGGUGUAGCGGUGAAAUGCGUAGAUAUCGGGAAGAACACCAGUGGCGAAGGCGCUCUGCUGGGCCAUAACUGACGCUCAUGGACGAAAGCCAGGGGAGCGAAAGGGAUUAGAUACCCCUGUAGUCCUGGCCGUAAACGAUGAACACUAGGUGUCGGGGGAAUCGACCCCCUCGGUGUCGUAGCCAACGCGUUAAGUGUUCCGCCUGGGGAGUACGCACGCAAGUGUGAAACUCAAAGGAAUUGACGGGGGCCCGCACAAGCGUUGGAGUAUGUGGUUUAAUUCGAUGCAACGCGAAGAACCUUACCAGGGUUUGACAUCCUGCAACCCCUGAGAAAUCGGGGGGUGCCUUCGGGAGCGCAGAGACAGGUGGUGCAUGGCUGUCGUCAGCUCGUGUCGUGAGAUGUUGGGUUAAGUCCCGCAACGAGCGCAACCCACGUCUUUAGUUGCCAGCAUUCAGUUGGGCACUCUAGAGAGACCGCCGGUGAUAAACCGGAGGAAGGUGUGGAUGACGUCAAGUCAUCAUGCCCCUUACAUCCUGGGCUACACACGUACUACAAUGCUACGGACAAAGGGCAGCAAGCUCGCGAGAGUUAGCAAAUCCCAUAAACCGUGGCUCAGUUCAGAUCGUAGGCUGCAACUCGCCUACGUGAAGGAGGAAUCGCUAGUAAUCGCAGGUCAGCAUACUGCGGUGAAUACGUUCCCGGGCCUUGUACACACCGCCCGUCACACCAUGGAAGUUGGCCAUGCCCGAAGUCGUUACUCCAACCCUUGUGGAGGAGGACGCCGAAGGU
rnacentral:rRNA from 1 species